AUGUGACCUAUGGACUUCCCUUUGUUAUCCUAUGCCUGGACUCAAAAAAGGGGCUGGGAGGGCAAAGGGUUGCCCAGUUGUCAUACAG
rfam:Tetraodon nigroviridis chromosome 12 SCAF14652, whole genome shotgun sequence.